rnacentral:rRNA from 1 species
UACGUAGGGGGCUAGCGUUGUCCGGAAUCAUUGGGCGUAAAGAGCGUGUGGGCGGCCCGGUAAGUCCGCUGUGAAAGUCGGGGGCUCAACCCUCGAAUGCCGGUGGAUACUGUCGGGCUAGAGUGCGGAAGAGGCGAGUGGAAUUCCUGGUGUAGCGGUGAAAUGCGCAGAUAUCAGGAGGAACACCAAUUGCGAAGGCAGCUCGCUGGGACGUAACUGACGCUGAGACGCGAAAGCGUGGGGAGCAAACAGG